ACGUAGCUCAGUCAUUCCUUAGUAGUAGCUCCAAAGCAUGGCUUCACUUUAUCAAGAAAUACGACAAGGAAACGGCUUUCUGCAAAUAUUGCCAGGCUUCGCUUUCCUCAGCGACAGUGAUGACGAAGCACGCUCCUCUUCCUCGACUUCAACCUGCAGUCCCAGUGAUAGUGCCGAUUACUACAGACCCACAGGAGAAAAGCAUUUCCCGCUGUCUGUACACAUCCAUCACAGGGAGAUGUAGUGUGCUUCAACAUCCAUGACAAGAGAACACAUGCGACCAGGUUGCAACUAGCAAAGCAUGCAGCAUGUGACAGGGUACCCCUAAAGAUGAUUGAGGAGACUUCGACUCAUGUGCUCUGUGACAGAUUUUGCUUCAAAACACACUCCGAAAGGACUUCAGAUGAUGCAGUUACCAAGUUUUGCCCAAAUAAGUGACAUGCAUUCAAGUAAAACAAUGAAAACAUGUUUGUGUAUGACAUUUUCACAAUAAAUUUGCAUUUGUGUCAGUAUUUUUUAAUUAAUUUUAAUUAUGCAACCAAGAAAUGUAUUGCAAUUAAUCAGGAUUAAUCAAAACUCUAAAGUGGGAUCAACCUGAUUUUAGAAAUAAUAAAUAUCAA